GGUUUUUAGCUCAGCUGGUUAGAGCGAACGACUCAUAAUCGUUAGGUCCCCGGUUCAAGUCCGGGCAUCGCCACCA
rnacentral:tRNA from 1 species